rnacentral:miRNA from 1 species
CCAAAUCAAGUCAACGAUUUCCGA